AACGAACGCUGGCGGCAGGCCUAACACAUGCAAGUCGAGCGCCCAGCAAUGGGAGCGGCGGACGGGUGAGUAACGCGUGGGAAUUUUUCCUGGAGUACGGAACAACCGAGGGAAACUUCGGCUAAUACCGUAUGAUGCCGAGAGGCCAAAGAUUUAUCGCUCUGGGGUGAGCCCGCGUCAGAUUAGGUAGUUGGUGGGGUAAAGGCCUACCAAGCCUGCGAUCUGUAGCUGGCUGAGAGGACGAUCAGCCACACUGGGACUGAGACACGGCCCAGACUCCUACGGGAGGCAGCAGUGGGGAGUCUUGCGCAAUGGGCGAAAGCCUGACGCAGCCAUGCCGCGUGAGUGAAGAAGUCUUAGGAUUGUAAAGCUCUUUCGCUCGUGACGAUGAUGACGGUAACGAGAGAAGAA
rnacentral:rRNA from 1 species